UACGUAGGGCGCAAGCGUUGUCCGGAAUUAUUGGGCGUAAAGAGCUCGUAGGUGGCGUGUCGCGUCUGCCGUGAAAGCCCAUGGCUUAACUGUGGGUCUGCGGUGGAUACGGGCAGGCUGGAGGCUGGUAGGGGCAAGCGGAAUUCCUGGUGUAGCGGUGAAAUGCGUAGAUAUCUGGAGGAACACCGGUGGCGAAGGCGGCAUCCUGGACCGACACUGACGCUGAGGAGCGAAAGCCAGGGGAGCAAACGGG
rnacentral:rRNA from 1 species